rnacentral:rRNA from 1 species
GACGAACGCUGGCGGCGUGCUUAACACAUGCAAGUCGAACGGAAAGGCCCUGCUUUUGUGGGGUGCUCGAGUGGCGAACGGGUGAGUAACACGUGAGUAACCUGCCCUUGACUUUGGGAUAACUUCAGGAAACUGGGGCUAAUACCGGAUAGGAGCUCCUGCUGCAUGGUGGGGGUUGGAAAGUUUCGGCGGUUGGGGAUGGACUCGCGGCUUAUCAGCUUGUUGGUGGGGUAGUGGCUUACCAAGGCUUUGACGGGUAGCCGGCCUGAGAGGGUGACCGGGCACAAUGGGACUGAGAGACGGCGCAGACGCCUACGGGAGGCAGCAGUGGGGAAUAUUGCACAAUGGGCGGAAGCCUGAUGCAGCAACGCCGCGUGCGGGAUGACGGCCUUCGGGGUGUAAACCGCUUUCGCCUGUGACGAAGCGUGAGUGACGGUAAUGGGUAAAGAAGCACCGGCUAACUACGUG